ACACUGGUGGUCUAGUGGUUAGGUUUUGGUGCUCUCACCGCCAUGGCCCGGGUUUCAUUCCUGGUCAUGGAA